rnacentral:lncRNA from 1 species
UCCCCACCCUUCAAAAUAAGUAUGAUCCACGGUCAGAGCCACUCUCCGUUUCAAAGAAACUGUUUCAUUUUAUUUAAACGUUUAACAAAUAACUUCUAUGUUUUUCUGUCAUCCACCUAAUUUCUCCUUUAGCAGUAUUCUUAUCUCUUUAUCUUUCCUUCCCUCUUAGUACUUGGAAAAAGACAAUUCUUCAACAGUGGUCUCUACCCCGAGGCAGACGGGAAAAGCCGGUCUUGUUCUCCAGGUGAUGACAGACUUCCUGUUGGCGUACCUCUUGCCCAUGUCCUUUUUAUUCAUCUUCCAAAUCGAUCUUUUUUCUGUUGGCCUUUGUCCACCUCCUGUUUCACGCAGGCUCAUUUGCUACUGGCAGUUUGAAUGGUAAACCUAAAAUAGUUUAGUUCCUGUGACUUCAUUCAAAGGCUUGUCUCGAAAUCCUUGGCUCCCUUCCUCGGCCUGUACAAGGGACCUGAUACCUAAACAAAUAGGAACGGGGUUUCUCCUAAAAUAACGCUCAAUACUUAACCUAAUCAAAUGGCAUCCAUUUGAAUACAAUGACAGUAACUCAAGCUAGUUAAUGUCAGUGACAUUAAACCAACUCCAGGAUUCAGGAGUUUUAAUGUUAGGAUUUAGAGUUAGCAGGUAGAGUGUGGCUUCACCUCUCUGCGGUAGCCCAGCUCUCCCCGUCCCUGUGAGAGGCUGUCUUCCUGCCUUCGGGGCAGCGGCAGUAGGGCCUUUGCUCAGGCUUCACCUCUCCGAGGUAGCCCCGCUCCCCGUCCCUGUGAGAGGCUGUCUUCCUGCCUCUGGGGCAGCGGCAGUAGGGCCUUUGCUCAGCUUCCGUUCUCUUGUGCGUUAGGUCUGUUGCUUAUCCAACCGUUCCAGAGUCUGGAGACUCUUUAGCUUUUUAUUUUCUGCUAAGAAGGUGGCACUGGUGUUUGGGGUUUGCUAUUGGUUUUCUGUUGCUUAUCCAACCGUUCCAGAGUCUGGAGACUCUUUAGCUUUUUAUUUUCUGCUAAGAAGGUGGCACUGGUGUUUGGGGUUUGCUAUUGGUUUUCUGUUUUGUUUUGUUUUCCUUUUUGUUCUUGGAGCUUUUGUUUCUGUUUUCUGGGUAAGGCUUACCUUGUUUUUAGUUUCUAUUCAAUGGCACAGAAAAAUCAGAAGGUUUCUUUUCUUCCAAAAUGAUUUAGCACUUAAAGGAGAUUAACUUGCGGAUCAUUAAUCCUAAUACUCUUGAGGAUGUGUUCCCCUUCUGCAUAUGCGGUUAAUUUGUGAGUUUUACUGCUAAGCCAUUGUAUCUCUCUAUCACUGGGAAGUUGUAGAAACUUCUGCCCAUGAUCUGUUGCUUUAUUUAAGGAGCUGCUGUUGCCUCCAGGAAACUCAAGAAUUUUGUAUGAGCUUUUUUUUUUCUUUCACCUCCUUUCUUUGCUCCUCAUGUUCUUCAAACCAGUGUUUUGGAAGUAUGCAUGCAAGCCUAUAAAUGAAGACCACAGGUCUUCAUGUAUGUAGCAUGUGUAUUAUAGUGUCUAGCUACAUCUGCAAACACCUUAUUCAGAGGUUUGGAUUAACAUUUCACAUGCACAUUUCAAAACAAAAGUUUUUCAGCCGUUAAACACCCCCCUUACCAAGAAGAGCAGCAUGGGCUACAUUUACCCCAAUAACAGCUACUGUUUGUUUUAAAAGUGAAUUUAAUUAUAUGUUAUACAAUAUUAUGACUACCACUGUGCAAGAAAUAAAGAAAAAGAACUUCUAUUUUCAUGAAAGUAUUUUUCAUCAGUCAUUGGUCUCAGAUAUAAGUGAAAAUACAAACUUUCUGAAUACUGUACUGUCUGAGGCACUACCUGACUUUUAAAUGUGUAGUAAAAAGAAGCUAAAUUUCUCCUUCCACUUGGUAUUUCAAGAAGAUUGAAAAUAUUCCACGUAAAAAUGAUUUGCACAAGUGAAAAGCCUGUGUGUGCACGAGAAGGAUGUCUUGGUUAUAUGUAGAGUCAUCUCACAGCACCAGUUUUCCUGUUUGGAAUUAUAAGAUGACACUGUUCUCUUUGAUUUAAAAAAAAAUCAUAACAUUUGAUACGAUCAAGGUGUAACCACUAUUGAUAUUUAGGAGACAUUUUAAAAGACCAUAAACUGACAUUGGAAAGAACACCAUGGUAGACUUUUUGUAAAUUUAUUUUGUAUUUAAUUAAAUUCAGUAUAAAGGCUGGUGAAGUGUAAUAUAAUUGUGUAAACAAAUCCUGUUAAUAGAGAGAUGUACAGAUUCGUUUUGUACUGUAUCUUGAAACUUGUGAAAUAAAGAUUCCACCUCUGGUUAUCCUGUAUGCUAAUCAUGUACCAUGGCCAGGCACCACUCCACACAGACUUUUUUAAAAACCUGAAUGAUUCAAUUUUUUAAUGAACCUUUUGGAUUUUCAGAAGCUUCUGGAAAAACAUUCAUUGGGGGCGCUUUGAAUCCAUCUUAAAUUUACUUUUAGCUAUUGAAAUUCAGAUUUCUGUAAGUUGAGUAUUAUCCUCCGGAGUACUGAGAAUAUACACUUGCCAAGAAGCGUUUCCAUGUUUAAAUCCCUGAGAUCUUGGACCUGAGUUGGCCUGUGAUAGUAAGCGUGAUUCACUUUAAUCCUGAUUUUACUAAAACUUAGCUACAGUGUGUUUAGGCGUUGCCUUUUCCCAGAAGGUUUUUACAGAGCUGCAUACCAUGCAGCACAGUGAAAUGUGCAUAGCAUGAGUAAGAGCUCAGUAAAGGGGAAACAAAGGAGAAAACAGUAUUGAAUCAGGAGUGAACACUGUACAGAGAUGCACGUCAGAGCUGGGCUACAGACACAGCCCUGACGUCCUCGAAGCCAACUCAAAAGAAGUUGUUCAGCUUAGAAGCAGCAGAUCCUUUUAAAAAGUCUGGAUGAUGCAGAUUGUGGCAGGUGAGAAGUCGCACCUCAGAUUUUACUUCUGGGAAGACAGUCAGCCACCCAAGGUGACCUUGACUAACUUUGACUGAAAUCAGAGUCGUGAGGAAGUUGCACAUCAGCUGAAACGUCCAUAGUGUGUCCGUUCCGCCUGGCGCUGGGCGUGAUCCCUGGUUGCCAGUUCACCCCUUUCUGACAAGUCAGUAAAACGAGUCCUGGGGCUUCACUGGAUCCAGCCUGGAGAAACAGCCUCUCCCUGUUCCUUGUACAACACUAAUUUUGAUUGGCCACACUAACCCUGAAAUUUAGGAGACAUUUAAAAGACCAUAAACUGACAUUGGAAAGAACACCAUGGUAGACUUUUGUAAAUUUAUUUUGUAUUUAAUUAAAUUCAGUAUAAAGGCUGGUGAAGUGUAAUAUAAUUGUGUAAACAAAUCCUGUUAAUAGAGAUGUACAGAUUCGUUUUGUACUGUAUCUUGAAACUUGUGAAAUAAAGAUUCCACCUCUGGUUAUCCUGUAUGCUAAUCAUGUACCAUGGCCAGGCACCACUCCACACAGACUUUUUAAAACCUGAAUGAUUCAAUUUUUAAUGAACCUUUUGGAUUUUCAGAAGCUUCUGGAAAAACAUUCAUUAGGGCGCUUUGAAUCCAUCUUAAAUUUACUUUUAGCUAUUGAAAUUCAGAUUUCUGUAAGUUGAGUAUUAUCCUCCGGAGUACUGAGAAUAUACACUUGCCAAGAAGCGUUUCCAUGUUUAAAUCCCUGAGAUCUUGGACCUGAGUUGGCCUGUGAUAGUAAGCGUGAUUCACUUUAAUCCUGAUUUUACUAAAACUUAGCUACAGUGUGUUUAGGCGUUGCCUUUUCCCAGAAGGUUUUACAGAGCUGCAUACCAUGCAGCACAGUGAAAUGUGCAUAGCAUGAGUAAGAGCUCAGUAAAGGGGAAACAAAGGAGAAAACAGUAUUGAAUCAGGAGUGAACACUGUACAGAGAUGCACAUCAGAGCUGGGCUACAGACACAGCCCUGACGUCCUCGAAGCCAACUCAAAAGAAGUUGUUCAGCUU